UGCUGACAGUGACAGAAACAGAAGAAGAGAAAAAACAAAAGGAGGAGGACACUCACUUGCGGUGACAAACAUCGUACUGGUACUACAACGUACGACGACACAUCGGCGCUUUCACCAUCUUCUUCUUGUUGUUGUUGUUUUCUUUCAGUAAAGUCUAAUUUUUGCGUACCUUUUCCCAAAAAAAGGAAAAACAUAUAGAAGAGAGACAGAAAAACAA
rnacentral:ribozyme from 1 species